rnacentral:tRNA from 1 species
UCUUCCGUAGUAUAGUGGUCAGUAUGUGAGCUUGUCAUCUUGUCAUCGCUCGAGACCCGGGUUCAAUUCCCGGCGGGAGAG